CAGGCUUAACACAUGCAAGUCGAGGGGUAACAGAGGUAGCUUGCUACUUGCUGACGACCGGCGCACGGGUGCGUAACGCGUAUAGAAUCUACCUUAUACUGGGGGAUAGCCUUUGGAAACGAAGAUUAAUACCCCAUAGUAUGUUUGAAUGGCAUCAUUUGGACAUUAAAGUUUCGGCGGUAUAAGAUGACUAUGCGUUCUAUUAGUUUGUUGGUAAGGUAACGGCUUACCAAGACUACGAUAGAUAGGGGUCCUGAGAGGGAGAUCCCCCACACUGGUACUGAGACACGGACCAGACUCCUACGGGAGGCAGCAGUGAGGAAUAUUGGACAAUGGAGGCAACUCUGAUCCAGCCAUGCCGCGUGUAGGAAGACUGCCCUAUGGGUUGUAAACUACUUUUAUAUGGGAAGAAUAAGGUCUACGUGUAGACUGAUGACGGUACCAUAAGAAUAAGCACCGGCUAACUCCGUGCCAGCAGCCGCGGUAAUACGGAGGGUGCAAGCGUUAUCCGGAAUCAUUGGGUUUAAAGGGUCCGUAGGCGGGCAUAUAAGUCAGUGGUGAAAGUCUGUGGCUUAACCAUAGAAUUGCCAUUGAUACUGUAUGUCUUGAAUUAUUGUGAAGUGGUUAGAAUAUGUAGUGUAGCGGUGAAAUGCUUAGAGAUUACAUAGAAUACCGAUUGCGAAGGCAGAUCACUAACAAUAUAUUGACGCUGAUGGACGAAAGCGUAGGUAGCGAACAGGAUUAGAUACCCUGGUAGUCUACGCCGUAAACGAUGGAUACUAGUUGUUUGGCUUUCGGGCUGAGUGACUAAGCGAAAGUGAUAAGUAUCCCACC
rnacentral:rRNA from 1 species